GCACUGGUGGUAUAGCGGUAGCAUAGCUGCUUGCCAUGCAGUUGACCUGGGUUCAAUUCCCAACCAAUGCA